rnacentral:lncRNA from 1 species
AUGUGGGCGGAUUUGGGGUCCAUUUUGAGCCUCAUUUCUGUGGAAUUUUGGGGUUUUUUAUGGGAUUUUUCCCCAAACUUUGGGAGUUUUGGGAAUCGUGAGGGGGUUGGGCACACUCUCAGGGGGAUUGGGGUGAAUUUUGGGGUGAAUUUGGGCGGAUUUGGGGCCGCGUUUUCGCCGCAGGCCGCUCCGGCUCCUCCGAGCCAGCAGGGGGCGCUGCGCGCAUGCGCGGCGCGGCUCCGGAAGGAGCUGCAGGGCCUGGGGGACGCCAUUGCGGACGCACAGGAAACGGCGCAGCGCCUCGAGGCCGCCCUGGGGGAGGGGCACAGCCGGCGGUGGGCGGAGCUUCGGCGAGGGGCGGAGCUUCGGCUGCUGGGGGUGGAGCCGGGCCCUGCAGGGCUGCGGGCCGGCCACGAGGGGGCGCUGAGGGCGCGCCAUAAAAGGCCGGGCCCGAGCCGGGCGGAGCUGUCAGCCAUCUUGGCCUCGGGGGCGGAGCCGGAAGUGCUGGUGUCAAUCAAGGCCCUGUGCAAGGCCAGGGAGGCGGAGCUCCGGAGGCCACGCCCACACAGGUAAGCCACACCCCUUCCUCAUUAGCUACUAAUUAACCCUCUAAUUAAUCGAUUAACCAGCUAAUUAAUCCACCCCAGAGCUGCCAAUCACCCGGGAAGGCCCAGGAGGCUCCGGAUUGGCUGGAACAGGCUGAGGUGGGUGUGGCUUGCUGGGGAAGGGGGCGUGGCUGCGUUCAGGCCCCACCCCCUGCCCUGACGCUUGGCGCCCCCUGCAGGCCGUGCUGAUUGGCCACAGCCCGGGCGCGGUGCUCUGGGCGCUGGAGGCCCUGGCCAAUCACAGCACCAGGUGGGUGGGGCUUAGUGGGGUGGGUGUGUCUAGAAGGGAUGGGUGGGGCUUAAAAUGGGUGGGGCUUACCAGAGUGGGUGUGGCUUGAAGGGGUGGGUGGG